CGGGGUACCAUCGUUCUAUGCAGUAGUGCCGGUGCAUAGAACGAUGGUAGCCCACU
rnacentral:pre_miRNA from 1 species